AACUCUUAGCGGUGGAUCACUCGGCUCCUGCCUCGAUGAAGAAUACAGUUAGCUGCGAGAAUUAAUGUGAAUUGCAGGACACAUUGAUCAUUGACACUUGGAACGUACUUGCGGCCCUGGGUUCCUCCCGGGACUAUGCCUGUCUGAGCGUCU
ensembl:rRNA 5_8S_rRNA 5.8S ribosomal RNA